CUACGGGCGGCUGCAGUGGGGAAUAUUGCACAAUGGGCGCAAGCCUGAUGCAGCAACGCCGUGUGAGCGAAGAAGGCCUUCGGGUUGUAAAGCUCUGUCCUAAGGGAAGAAACAAAUGACGGUACCUUAGGAGGAAGCCCCGGCUAACUACGUGCCAGCAGCCGCGGUAAUACGUAGGGGGCAAGCGUUAUCCGGAAUCACUGGGCGGAAAGGGUGCGUAGGCGGCUAAGCAAGCCAGGGGUGAAAGGCAUUGGCUCAACCAAUGUAAGCCUUUGGAACUGUUUGGCUUGAGUGCAGGAGAGGUAAGUGGAAUUCCUAGUGUAGAGGUGAAAUUCGUAGAUAUUAGGAGGAACACCAGUGGCGAAGGCGACUUACUGGACUGUAACUGACGCUGAGGCACGAAAGCGUGGGGAGCGAACAGGAUUAGAUACCCUGGUAGUC
rnacentral:rRNA from 1 species